rnacentral:rRNA from 1 species
GAUGAACGCUAGCGGCAGGCUUAACACAUGCAAGUCGAGGGGCAGCAUAUUUUGUAGUAAUACAAGAUGAUGGCGACCGGCGCACGGGUGCGUAACGCGUAUGCAACCUACCAUAUACAGGGGGAUAAACUUUCGAAAGGGAGCCUAAUACCCCAUAGUAUUAUUUUAAGGCAUCUUGCAAUAAUUAAAGAUUUAUUGGUAUAUGAUGGGCAUGCGUGUCAUUAGCUAGUUGGUAAGGUAACGGCUUACCAAGGCGACGAUGACUAGGGGUUCUGAGAGGAAGAUCCCCCACACUGGUACUGAGACACGGACCAGACUCCUACGGGAGGCAGCAGUGAGGAAUAUUGGUCAAUGGGCGAGAGCCUGAACCAGCCAUGCCGCGUGCAAGGAAGACGGCCCUAUGGGUUGUAAACUGCUUUUAUGUGAGGAUAAACCUAUUCUUGCGAGAGUAGCUGAAGGUAUCACAUGAAUAAGGAUCGGCUAACUCCG